rnacentral:rRNA from 1 species
GACGGAGGAUGCAAGUGUUAUCCGGAAUCACUGGGCGUAAAGCGUCUGUAGGUGGUCAAAUAAGUCAACUGUUAAAUCUUGAGGCUCAACCUCAAAAUCGCAGUCGAAACUAUUAGACUAGAGUAUAGUAGGGGUACAGGGAAUUUCCAGUGGAGCGGUGAAAUGCGUAGAGAUUGGAAAGAACACCGAUGGCGAAGGCACUUUACUGGGCUAUUACUAACACUCAGAGACGAAAGCUAGGGUAGCAAAUGGG